rnacentral:rRNA from 1 species
UACGUAGGGUCCGAGCGUUGUCCGGAAUUAUUGGGCGCAAAGGGCUCGUAGGCGGUUUGUCGCGUCGGGAGUGAAAACACGGGGCUUAACCCCGUGCCUGCUUCCGAUACGGGCAGACUAGAGGUAUGCAGGGGAGAACGGAAUUCCUGGUGUAGCGGUGAAAUGCGCAGAUAUCAGGAGGAACACCAGUGGCGAAGGCGAGUCUCUGGGAUGAUGCUGACGCUGAGGCGCGAAAGCCAGGGGAGCAAACGGG